rnacentral:rRNA from 1 species
UACGGGGGGGGCAAGCGUUGUUCGGAAUUACUGGGCGUAAAGGGCUCGUAGGCGGCCAACUAAGUCAGACGUGAAAUCCCUCGGCUUAACCGGGGAACUGCGUCUGAUACUGGUUGGCUUGAAUCCGGGAGAGGGAUGUGGAAUUCCAGGUGUAGCGGUGAAAUGCGUAGAUAUCUGGAGGAACACCGGUGGCGAAGGCGGCAUCCUGGACUGGUCCUGACACUCAGGAGCGAAAGCGUGGGGAGCGAUCCGG